rnacentral:rRNA from 1 species
UACAGAGGGGGCAAGCGUUGUUCGGAAUUACUGGGCGUAAAGGGCGCGUAGGCGGCCUGCUAAGUCGAACGUGAAAUCCCCGGGCUCAACCCGGGAACUGCGUCCGAUACUGGGAGGCUUGAAUUCGGGAGAGGGAUGCGGAAUUCCAGGUGUAGCGGUGAAAUGCGUAGAUAUCUGGAGGAACACCGGUGGCGAAGGCGGCAUCCUGGACCGAAAUUGACGCUGAGGCGCGAAAGCCAGGGGAGCAAACGGG